GAAAGGCAUACCACCCUGAAAGUGCCUGCUCUUGCCUAAUCUCCCUGGAGCUAAGCAGGGUCAGGCCUGGUUAGUACUUGGAUGGGAGACACAGAGAAGAUUAACACGUGCUUGCA
rnacentral:rRNA from 1 species